GAAGGAGGAGACAAAAUGGUGAUUUCUCUCAUAGAAGACAGUGAGAUAGGAACAGUGUGUUUGCCAGAAGCUUGCAUAUGGCAUGUUAGAGAAACAGAAGUGCUACCUUGUAUGGUGAUUUUUAGAGCAAUGAAGUCUGCAUAAAUCAACAAAGAACAUUCCAUUAAAGCUAUUUGGCAUGUCAGCAUUUUUCCUCGAUGGAUCUCAAAGCAUUUUACUAAGAUUGUUGCUGCACCCAAGGCUUGCAUACUUUAGUUCCUUUUCUGGAAGAAAGAGUAGUUCAGAAAUUCUGAACAGAUCUCACAAUGAACUACAGAGUUUGUUACAGAGAUAUACUAUGUCAAGCUCUAUAAAAUAAGAGAAUUAUAUUCUAUA